GACGUUUAUUGGGCGGAAAGAGCGUGUAGGCGGGCAGGUAGGUCUGCUGUGAAAACUCGAGGCUCAACCUCGAGACGUCGGCGGAAACCAUCUGGCUAGAGUCCGGAAGAGGAGAGUGGAAUUCCUGGUGUAGCGGUGAAAUGCGCAGAUAUCAGGAAGAACACCCGUGGCGAAGGCGGCUCUCUGGGACGGUACUGACGCUGAGACGCGAAAGCGUGGGGAGCGAACAGG
rnacentral:rRNA from 1 species